rnacentral:rRNA from 1 species
UACGUAGGAGACGAGCGUUGUCCGGAAUUCUGGGCGUAAAGCGCGUGUAGGCGGAUGGGCAAGUCUGCUGUGAAAGCUCCUGGCUUAACCGGGAGUGGUCGGUGGGAAACUGCCAAUCUGGAGGACGGUAGAGGUAGGUAGAAUUCCCGGUGUAGUGGUGAAAUGCGUAGAGAUCGGGAGGAAUACCUGUGGCGAAGGCGGCCUACUGGGCCGGACCUGACGCUGAGACGCGAAGGCGUGGGGAGCGAACGGG